GACGAACGCUGGCGGCGUGCUUAACACAUGCAAGUCGAACGGAAAGGCCCUGCUUUUGUGGGGUGCUCGAGUGGCGAACGGGUGAGUAACACGUGAGUAACCUGCCCUUGACUUUGGGAUAACUUCAGGAAACUGGGGCUAAUACCGGAUAGGAGCUCCUGCUGCAUGGCGGGGGUUGGAAAGUUUCGGCGGUUGGGGAUGGACUCGCGGCUUAUCAGCUUGUUGGUGGGGUAGUGGCUUACCAAGGCUUUGACGGGUAGCCGGCCUGAGAGGGUGACCGGCCACAUUGGGACUGAGAUACGGCCCAGACUCCUACGGGAGGCAGCAGUGGGGAAUCUUGCCCAAUGGGCGGAAGCCUGAUGCAGCAACGCCGCGUGCGGGAUGACGGCCUUCGGGUUGUAAACCGCUUUCGCCUGUGACGAAGCGUGAGUGACGGUAAUGGGUAAAGAAGCACCGGCUAACUACGUG
rnacentral:rRNA from 1 species